GUCUAUGGCCAUGCUACCCUGAACAAGCCCGAUCCCAUCUGAUCUUGGAAGCUAAGCAGGGUCAGACCUGGUUAAUAGUUGGAUGGGAGACCACCUAGGAAGACCAGGUGCUGUAGGUG
rnacentral:rRNA from 1 species